rnacentral:rRNA from 1 species
CCUACGGGUGGCAGCAGUGAGGAAUAUUGGUCAAUGGACGAGAGUCUGAACCAGCCAAGUAGCGUGAAGGAUGACUGCCCUAUGGGUUGUAAACUUCGUUUAUAUGGGAAUAAAACGUUCCACGUGUGGGAUUUUGUAUGUACCAUAUGAAUAAGGAUCGGCUAACUCCGUGCCAGCAGCCGCGGUAAUACGGAGGAUCCGAGCGUUAUCCGGAUUUAUUGGGUGUAAAGGGAGCGUAGGUGGAUUGUUAAGUCAGUUGUGAAAGUUUGCGGCUCAACCGGAAAAUUGCAGUUGAAACUGGCAGUCUUGAGUACAGUAGAGGUGGGCGGAAUUCGUGGUGUAGCGGUGAAAUGCUUAGAUAUCACGAAGAACUCCGAUUGCGAAGGCAGUUCACUGGACUGCAACUGACACUGAGGCUCGAAAGUGUGGGUAUCAAACAGGAUUAGAUACCCGUGUAGUC